rnacentral:tRNA from 1 species
GCUCCUGUAGCGCAAUGGAUAGCGCGUUGGACUUUUAAUCCAACGGUCGUGGGUUAUAAUCCUACCUGGGAUG